GAUGAACGCUGGCGGCGUGCCUAAUACAUGCAAGUCGAGCGAACAGACGAGGAGCUUGCUCCUCUGACGUUAGCGGCGGACGGGUGAGUAACACGUGGAUAACCUACCUAUAAGACUGGGAUAACUUCGGGAAACCGGAGCUAAUACCGGAUAAUAUAUUGAACCGCAUGGUUCAAUAGUGAAAGACGGUUUUGCUGUCACUUAUAGAUGGAUCCGCGCCGCAUUAGCUAGUUGGUAAGGUAACGGCUUACCAAGGCGACGAUGCGUAGCCGACCUGAGAGGGUGAUCGGCCACACUGUGACUGAGACACGUUCCAGACUCCUACGGGAGGCAGCAGUAGGGAAUCUUCCGCAAUGGGCGAAAGCCUGACGGAGCAACGCCGCGUGAGUGAUGAAGGUCUUCGGAUCGUAAAACUCUGUUAUUAGGGAAGAACAAAUGUGUAAGUAACUAUGCACGUCUUGACGGUACCUAAUCAGAAAGCCACGGCUAACUACGUG
rnacentral:rRNA from 1 species